ensembl:lncRNA
CUUGACUAGAUGGACCUUUGUUGGCAAAGUAAUGUCUCUGCUUUUUAAUAUGCUAUCUAGGUUGGUCAUAACUUUUCUUCCAAGGAGCAAGCGUCUUUUAAUUUCAUGGCUGCAGUCACCAUCUGUAGAUAGAUACAUUUCCUAGCUCUGUCCACUAAGAGAAUCUAGAAGCACUGACAUUCAGUAGUCACAAGCAUACUUCAUGCCCAGAUCUUGGUUUCUAAAUAUCAUUGUCCAGUACAAGGAACCAGGUUCCAGUAAAAGGAACUCUAUGUCUGGGACAGGAAAAAUGCAAAAUGAACCUAAAGCAUUUGUGGUACCAGGAAGUAAGAAAGUGGCCCCACGUGGGCCCAACAUGCACUGAAGAGACCCCCAUGCCUUGCAGCGCUGAGCUCUGACACUGAUUUGGCAAGGUAAGAGACAAUCUGGACUUUCGUCUGCUCCCAAGGACCUGCCUCCGCUCCCCAAAGCCUUACUGUGGGGCCCAGACCAGAAUUCAAGCACCUGGAAGAGCUGCUUCCAGCAGUGGUUAGCAGGGACAAGGCCACUUCAGGAAUCACAGGGACCAACGCGAACAGACUCAGGGGCUUUGAUCAGGGAGGGGCCACUUGGUCCCCAAACCCCUAAGGCCCAGUGUGGCCAGCCUGCAGCCAAAUGGAAGAGAUGCAGCCAAGAUGCUCACUGGCCUAUGGCCCCUCGGGCCCUGUCUGAACCUCAGCUUCCUUAUCUGUAAAUGGGAUAAAGUCUGAAACAGUGGGGAGAGCCAGACAGGCCUGCAUUCAAACCCCAGGUCUGAGCCUCAAUCCUGGGUGAGUUCCUCAGCCUAUCGGAACCCCAGAUAUAUCAUCUGUAGAGGGGACUGGAUAAGAGCACUCACCCUCUGGCUGAUGGCAGUGCUAGAGGAAAUGUACAUAAAGUCCCUGGCAUAGAGCAGGGCUCAGUAAGCAGGAGUUGUCAUUAUUACUUCAUAUGCCUGUUCUGAGGAUUAGAUCCAGAGAGAUGAUGUGCGUGCAAAGGCUUGGUGAAAUACAGUGAACGAAUGGUAGCAAUUACCACUUAUCACUGUGUCCUCUUCUCCCUGGGCUUCACCCCCUCUUUCUCUUUUUCUCUGUCUAGUUUACUUUUUUCUUCUCUUGAGUUCUCUUCCUCUAGUCCUUCUCCUCUCCUCCUGGCACCACGGCCUUUAUUUAUUUUUUUUUAAUAUUUAUAUUCAUUUAUUUGGUUGCCCUGAGUCUUAGUUGUGGCAUCUGGGAUCUUCAGUUGUGGCAUGCGGGAUCCAGUUCCCUGACCGGGGAUCAAACCUGGGCUCCCUGAACAAGGAGCUCAGAGUCUUAGCCACUGGGCCACCAGGGAAGUCCCUGGUCCCACAGCCUUUAAAACCAACAUCAGACACCAGUUUUGUCUUCCCUCACUCUGGAACCUACGAUGGCUCUCCAUUCUCCCCACGUCCAAACUCAGCAGCACCACCACCCCUCACUACCAAUGUCACUUCACACCCCACCCCAUUAAAUUAAAAUAGUAGUUUGUAAAGUUUUAGCAUAGUGCUUAGUACACAGAAAAUGAUUAAUAAACAGCAGCUCCCUUUUGUUAUCUUGGUUCUUGGGCAAAUGAAACAAAGCGACGUAGACAGGCAGGGAGUGUCAGGCUUUUGCUGUGCAUUUAGUGAUGUUUUGGUUAAAAUCAGCAACCUCUUACUCACUGAGUGCCUGACCAGGCUUCCAAAGCUCCAUGCCACAGCAUCCUCAGAGGUCCAGGUAUUCAACACUCACUCACGUUGCUCCAUUUGUGCAGGGACCUGUGCUAGACACGGGCACAGGUGACACGCAGGGCCAGCUCAGCCAGAGCAGGUUCACAGAAGGACUGGGAAGCAGGUGAUAAGGACCCCGGCCCCCAUGCCGGCCUGGAACACAAGGGCCCUGGGUGGCCUGGGGCACAACCCAGUUUUCUCCACACACCCUGCCCUAUCCAUCCCCAGGCCAUGCCCUGUCUAGGUCUCAGCUCAUUCUCCAGGCCCUGCUGCUCCCUGCCCUUCCACGUGGCCUCCCUUCUAUCUGGUAAAGGAACAGCUCUGGCCUGGCUGUGAGUCUCUGUACACGCUCUCUUUCCUCUUGCCAGGACAUGCUCUCUAGCCCAGACACCUCCAGACGUUUACACGGAAAGGUCACCUCCUCCUGGAACCUGCCUCUGUCCAUCCCUGUGGGAUGGUGGGCUUUCUUUCAGGAUGUUAUGAAAAGAGCUCAGGCUGGGUUUGAAUCCGGUUCUCUCACCUUUCAAUUGGCUUUAAGCAAAUGGCAGCCACUCACCUACAGCGAGGGGGGACCAUGACCACACGUGCCAGGGCAUCUGGUGCCUGUCUGGGACCUAAAAACAAUGGCUGAGGAUGAGAGACAGAGACGUACCUGCACCUGCUUUAGAGGCUGGAAAGGUAGGUGGGAGUCAAGUGGCUUCAAUGCCAGGCAAAGAGCUGACUCUUUAGCCCAAGUCAAAGGGAAGCAGGCAGCAUAGAGGAAGGUCAAGUUCUGCACAGGAUGGAGAGAGCAGGCGGGACCCCAGUUCCUGAUCUUUAGCCAAGCUCUGUUCACCCUAUGUCCCUGGGUACACCCUUAUCUUCUGUACCAGGUCAAGGGCAACUGGGGAGCAGAAGCUAUGCUCCAUGCCUCUGAACUCCUCCAAGCUCUAAGGCAGGCUGGGCGCCCAGGAGGUAGCCAUAAAGAUCGUCACCAUGGUUGCAUGGGUCUCAGAAGGCCACCUGGCACAGGCUUUCCG